UGAUCAGAUGCUUCAGUGCUCUGAGAGUGUUUAUAGUGCUGUGAGUUUAACACUUCAUCACUGACACACACAACAAUCUUCAUCAACAUGACCUUCAUCAUCAUCUGGACGCUCUUAUACUGCUUUAUACUACAAGGCUGUAGAGCUCAGAUCACAGUGACUCAGACUCCUGCAGUGAAAACUGUCACACCAAGAGAAAAUGUUGAGAUGAGCUGUAAACUCAGUAGUAGUGCUGAUACCUGCAGCUCAGCAUACUGUGUGUCCUGGUACUUACAGAAACCUGGAGAAGCUCCUAAACUCCUGGUUUAUUAUACAAACAGCCUCCAGUCAGGAACUCCAUCUAGAUUCAGUGGCAGUGGAUCUAACAGUGAUUUCACUCUGACCAUCAGUGGAGUCCAGACUGAAGAUGCUGGACAUUAUUACUGUCUGAGUUAUCACUACAUCAACAGUAAAGAUGUGUUCACACAGUGAUAAAGAGUCGUACAAAAACCUCCGUCAGUCAGAGUCACAGUGACUGAACUGAUACUGCAGCUGCUCACACACUUUCACACACUUUCACACACACUCAACAGCAGAAGGUUUUCAAACACACAGAUCUAAAAUCUACAAAUGUUUCUUUCUCAUAAACUUUCAUCAAGUCAAGUCAGCAGACCAAACACAUCUGAAACCAGACAAAAUGGACCUGAUGGACUCAUAGAUUUCUGGUUUAUACUUCAUAGUAUUCAGUAGGU